rnacentral:sRNA from 2 species
UGUUUGCGUGAGGGAUAGUAGUGAAAAGCCCACAGCCUGACGAAGGAAGUGCGAGGACUUGUAGCGGAUAGCCCGGUUCGCC